CCUACGGGGGGCAGCAGUGGGGAAUUUUGGACAAUGGGGGCAACCCUGAUCCAGCCAUGUCGCGUGUAUGAAGAAGGCCUUCGGGUUGUAAAGUACUUUUGUUCGGGAAGAAAAGGAGGGUGCUAAUACCACCCUUUGCUGACGGUACCGAAAGAAUAAGCACCGGCUAACUACGUGCCAGCAGCCGCGGUAAUACGUAGGGUGCGAGCGUUAAUCGGAAUUACUGGGCGUAAAGCGAGCGCAGAUGGUUAUUUAAGCAGGAUGUGAAAUCCCCGGGCUCAACCUGGGAACUGCGUUCUGAACUGGAUAGCUAGAGUGUGUCAGAGGGGGGUAGAAUUCCACGUGUAGCAGUGAAAUGCGUAGAGAUGUGGAGGAAUACCGAUGGCGAAGGCAGCCCCCUGGGAUAACACUGACGUUCAUGCUCGAAAGCGUGGGUAGCAAACAGGAUUAGAUACCCGAGUAGUC
rnacentral:rRNA from 1 species